rnacentral:hammerhead_ribozyme from 1 species
AUCCUUUUGACGAGUCCUAAAUAGGAUGAAACGCGCAUCAUGGAU